GAAUAUCUCCUCUCAUCCAUCUUUUUAACUAAAGAUUGGAUCGAGAGGGUGCUUGGGCUUGCAUUGGAGAUUUUAUCUGUAAAUGCUUGCCUUAAAUGCAUUAGCUGGACUUCAGUAGAGUUGUUAAGUAACAUUGAAAACUCUUGUGAUCGAAGUCUGCUUCUAGUCCAUCUCGAGCUUGCUCGAGAGUUCAUUUUCAA
rnacentral:misc_RNA from 1 species